CCUGAGAAAUCCAAAAGUUCGAAUGGAGAGAUUCAGCGUCAGUGGCUGUCUGUUGGCUUGCUUGUGACGCGCGAUGCUCUCGCGUCCCGCGGCGUACCCUCGGGUGCGUCGCGGGCUCGCGUGGGGCACGCCGUCGCCGAGUCAUGUCCAACGUCGCCGGCGUGCACUUCUCUCCUAGUAGGACGUCGCGACCCGCUGGGUGUCGGUCAUUUACGGCCCCUAUGGUAGACCGUUGCGCCCCCAGUGCGCUUCGGACCUUGGGUGCGCACUAACACCCGACCGACUGCCCGGCGGUAUUGAAAGCUUUUUUUGAAUCACGAUUGGUAUCGAGCCGCGGAAAACCGCUCGUCGGUUGAACGCGUUCAGGCUUGCCGGUUGAUCGAGUCUCGCUUGGCAAAUUAUACGGACCUGGUGCCGUUGUCGAGCGUUUGAUUCGGUUUUAAUCGCGUCAAUGUCCUCUAACCGGCUCUCACCGGUCAGCGACGCUUUUGCUUUGGAUACUUUCAGG
rnacentral:rRNA from 1 species